ACGCUCGACACCUACGGAGGCAGCAGUGGGGAAUAUUGGGCAAUGGGCGCAAGCCUGACCCAGCAACGCCGCGUGAAGGAAGAAGGCUUUCGGGUUGUAAACUUCUUUUGUCAGGGACGAAGACGUGACGGUACCUGACGAAUAAGCUCCGGCUAACUACGUGCCAGCAGCCGUGGUAAUCUGAGCGGGCUGGCAAGGC
rnacentral:rRNA from 1 species